GCAUAACGCGAAGAACCUUACCUACUCUUGACAUCCACGGAACUUAGCAGAGAUGCUUUGGUGCCUUCGGGAACCGUGAGACAGGUGCUGCAUGGCUGUCGUCAGCUCGUGUUGUGAAAUGUUGGGUUAAGUCCCGCAACGAGCGCAACCCUUAUCCUUUGUUGCCAGCGGUUAGGCCGGGAACUCAAAGGAGACUGCCAGUGAUAAACUGGAGGAAGGUGGGGAUGACGUCAAGUCAUCAUGGCCCUUACGAGUAGGGCUACACACGUGCUACAAUGGCGCAUACAAAGAGAAGCGACCUCGCGAGAGCAAGCGGACCUCAUAAAGUGCGUCGUAGUCCGGAUUGGAGUCUGCAACUCGACUCCAUGAAGUCGGAAUCGCUAGUAAUCGUAGAUCAGAAUGCUACGGUGAAUACGUUCCCGGGUCUUGUACACACCG
rnacentral:rRNA from 1 species